GUAAUGAUACUCCUGUCCAGCCACAGCCACAAGCAGUGGGGGCAGCUCGGAGAGAUCCUCGGAGGGGUGAGAUUCCCGUGA
ncrna:Lachnospiraceae bacterium 7_1_58FAA pemK RNA